rnacentral:rRNA from 1 species
GCCGCGUGAGCGAAGAAGGCCUUCGGGUCGUAAAGCUCUGUCCUAAGGGAAGAAUAAUGACGGUACCUUAGGAGGAAGCCCCGGCUAACUACGUGCCAGCAGCCGCGGUAAUACGUAGGGGGCGAGCGUUAUCCGGAAUCAUUGGGCGUAAAGGGUGCGUAGGCGGCCAAACAAGCCAGAGGUGAAAGGCUACGGCUCAACCGUAGUAAGCCUUUGGAACUGUAUGGCUUGAGUGCAGGAGAGGAGAGUGGAAUUCCUAGUGUAGCGGUGAAAUGCGUAGAUAUUAGGAGGAACACCAGUGGCGAAGGCGACUCUCUGGACUG